GUGUUUUUAGUUCUGAAGCUUUGGGGUAAGAAACGAUGAAAAUGACGGCCUGCAGCUCCAUCAUCUUCUCCAUUUAUCUGAGCGUCGUACUCCACCUCAGCCAAGGUUAUGAGGUGAUUCAGCCGCAGACUCGGACCGUGAACCCCGACAGAUCGGCCUCCAUCACCUGUGAACACACGGCGAAUGUCAACUCUGUGACAGAUGUUCGACUCAACAGCAUCUCCCCGUGGUAAUGAAUUCCAGAGAGUAGGACCAUAAUGACUAAAAGCACCAUGAGCUGAUCUUGAAUUAAUUUCGGGUACGAUGAGGAGACCUUUAUUUGAAGAUCUGAGGGACUGGUCUGGUGUGUACUCAGUUAGCAUGUCAACUAACUUGGUUUGUGACCAGCCUCAAAUCGUCCCAUGCCCCCCCCCCCCCCCCCGAUCGUUGAAGGGGGCAAAUCAGGCCCUGUGUCUUUUUUUCUGUGUUUCAGAGCAACACAAGCAAUCUCCACGUAUGUGGAAAUGAGGAGAUCCCCUGUGCCAAGAAAUCCAGAGUUUGACUUGUACAGUCGUUCUGCUCUUCACCCCCAUCUCUCUUUUUCUAAGAGCUGAAAACAAAUGUGCUGCUGAAGAUAACCAGCAGAGGGAGACAAAGACCAUCUGCUUCUGAACACCUGCUUUCAUGUUUGCAUGCAAAGUCAUGUUAUCCAUUUUGUAUGAACAGGUACAGAUUAUUUUUAUUCCCAACUUAAAUAGAAGCUAUACCACUGUUAGACUUGAUGAUGUCUUGUACAGUUUGUGUGCAUGUUCCAGCCAGACAGAAAUAAAAACACACCAGUGAUCUUGACUUUUUUA